GGGCUUGUGGUUUAGUGGUAUAAUACUCCCUUAGCACCGUUAGAUGCAAUUCUACAGACGCCUGGGAGUGGUCCGGGGUUCGAUUCCCCGCGAGUCCA